UUUCCGUAGGUGAACCUGCGGAAGGAUCAUUGUCGUACCUAUAAAGCAGACCGCGAACAUGUCAACCAUAUGGAACUGUGGCGAUCACGUCGCAUUCCACUCCCGCAUGCGGACACCUUGCGGGCUAACGAACCCCGGCGCGGUAUGCGCCAAGGAUAACUCACUGUAGCGUCAUCCUCCCUUGCCCCGUUCUCGGUGAGCGUGGGGGGAUGUCUCAAAUAUCAAAAUGACUCUCGGCAACGGAUAUCUCGGCUCUCGUAUCGAUGAAGAACGUAGCGAAAUGCGAUACUUGGUGUGAAUUGCAGAAUCCCGUGAACCAUCGAGUCUUUGAACGCAAGUUGCGCCCAAAGCCUUCUGGCUAAGGGCACGUCUGCCUGGGCGUCACAUAUCACGUCGUCCUCCUUUCCGUCCACGGAUAAUGGCCUCCCGUGCACAACAAUGUGCGGCUGGUCCAAAUGCAAACCCGCGGCGACUCACGUCACGACCAGUGGUGGUUGAAUCUUCAACUCUCGUCUGUCGUGUCGGGUGUUGCAUGAUGGGAUCUAAAAUAGCCCCUUAGGCACGAGCUAGUUGCCUUUCGACUGCGACCCCAGGUCAGGCGGGAUUACCCGCUGAGUUUAA
rnacentral:rRNA from 1 species